AGCCUUGAGGUGUUAUAACAUACGGGAUUGCAAAUCCCGAGUAGUAGAUUGAAGUCUACCGGGGCUU
rnacentral:tRNA from 1 species